GUGAAUCUUCACUUCAGAUAUUCUACUUAUCAGCUCUAUUUGUUUUUUUAAUAGUGUCUCUACUGAGAUUUUUUUAAAUUUAUUUCAAUCAUAUUUUCUCUGAUGUUAAUGAGUACAUAUAAUAACUACUUUGAAAUCUUAUCUAUGUAUUCCAACAUUCAGACCAAGUAGGGAUCAGUCUUCAGUGAUAGUGUUUUCUGUUGAAAAUAGCUCACAUUUUCCUGGAUCUUUCUGUGUUGAAUAUUUUUGGAUUAUAUUCUGUUAGACGAAUAUAUAACUAGAAUAGCCAAUACAGAGAAGUGCUUAAAGGAGCUGAUGGAGCUGAAAGCCAAGGCUUGAGAACUACGUGAAGAAUGCAGAAGCCUCAGGAGCCGAUGCAAUCAACUGGAAGAAAGGGUAUCAGUGAUGGAAGAUGAAAUGAAUGAAAUGAAGUGAGAAGAGAAGUUUAGAGAAAAAAGAAUAAAAAGAAAUGAACAAAGCCUCCAAGAAAUAUGCGACUAUAUGAAAAGACCAAAUCUACGUCUGAUUGGUGUACCUGAAAGUGACGGGGAGAAUGGAACCAAGUUGGAAAACACUCUGCAGGAUAUUAUCCAGGAGAACUUCCCCAAUCUAGCAAGGCAGGCCAACAUUCAGAUUCAGGAAAUACAGAGAACACAACAAAGAUGCUCCUCGAGAAGAGCAACUCCAAGACACAUAAUUGUCAGAUUCACCAAAGUGAAAUGAAGGAAAAAAUGUUAAGGGCAGAGAGAAAGGUCGGGUUACCCACAAAGGGAAGCCCAUCAGACUAAAAGCAGAUCUCUCGGCAGAAACUCUACAAGCCAGAAGAGAGUGGGGAAAAUAUUCAACAUUCUUAAAGAAAAGAAUUUUCAACCCAGAAUUUCAUAUCCAUAAGUGAAGGAUAUGAAAUGAAGCUUCAUAUCCAUAAGCUUCAUAAGUGAAAGAGAAAUAAAAUACUUUACAGACAAGCAAAUGCUGAGAGAUUUUGUCACCACCAGACCUGCCCUAAAAGAGCUCCUGAAGGAAACACUAAACAUGGAAAGGAACAACCGGUACCAGCCACUGCCAAAUCAUGCCAAAUUGUAAAGACCAUCAAGGCUAGGAAGAAACUGCAUCAACUAACGAGC
rnacentral:lncRNA from 1 species